rnacentral:rRNA from 1 species
UGCGUAGGCGGUUUGAUCAGUCAGUGGUGAAAGUUUGCAGCUUAACUGUAAAAUUGCCAUUGAUACUGUCAGACUUGAGUACAGAUGAGGUAGGCGGAAUGUGUAGUGUAGCGGUGAAAUGCUUAGAUAUUACACAGAACACCGGUUGCGAAGGCAGCUUACUAAACUGAAACUGACGCUGAGGCACGAAAGUGUGGGGAUCAAACAGGAUUAGAUACCCUGGUAGUCC